UCUGCAGCCCGACUUGAACGGAAAUCCUUUUUUGCAUUGGCGAAAGCGCUGGAUAAAAAAGAUUGGGAGUGGAAGGCGGAAAUAGCU
rnacentral:sRNA from 1 species